GCAAAGCCGAGAGACACCCAAAGUCAGUGAAGGAAAACGAAGAAAGGCGAAAAGAGAAACCGAACGGAGCUUACCGGGGACUUGGAGAGAUUUUUGCUCGAAGAGUCAUCGGAGUUUAAGUGGUCGAAAGCUUCAGAUCUCCUUCCGUCGGUUUCAAUUUGGUAAACUUGGGAUCUAGGGUAUGAUCGAUUGUUUGCAUGUGUGUUAGAUUUGUGAUGCUCAUCAAGGUUGGGUUAGAUUCUUUGUGAAAUCUGAUGCAGAAAUGCGGUUGAUUCCAGUUUCCAAAGGAAACUUCUUUUAAACAAAUAAUGUAAUUAAUAAAAUGGGUUUAUUUGGUUUUAAUA